AUUAGUGGGGGACAACAUUCCGAAAGGAAUGCUAAUACCGCAUACGCCCUACGGGGGAAAGCAGGGGAUCUUCGGACCUUGCGCUAAUAGAUGAGCCUAAGUCGGAUUAGCUAGUUGGUGGGGUAAAGGCCUACCAAGGCGACGAUCUGUAGCGGGUCUGAGAGGAUGAUCCGCCACACUGGGACUGAGACACGGCCCAGACUCCUACGGGAGGCAGCAGUGGGGAAUAUUGGACAAUGGGCGGAAGCCUGAUCCAGCCAUGCCGCGUGUGUGAAGAAGGCCUUUUGGUUGUAAAGCACUUUAAGCGAGGAGGAGGCUCCUUUAGUUAAUACCUAAAGUGAGUGGACGUUACUCGCAGAAUAAGCACCGGCUAACUCUGUGCCAGCAGCCGCGGUAAUACAGAGGGUGCGAGCGUUAAUCGGAUUUACUGGGCGUAAAGCGUGCGUAGGCGGCUUUUUAAGUCGGAUGUGAAAUCCCUGAGCUUAACUUAGGAAUUGCAUUCGAUACUGGAAAGCUAGAGUAUGGGAGAGGAUGGUAGAAUUCCAGGUGUAGCGGUGAAAUGCGUAGAGAUCUGGAGGAAUACCGAUGGCGAAGGCAGCCAUCUGGCCUAAUACUGACGCUGAGGUACGAAAGCAUGGGGAGCAAACAGGAUUAGAUACCCUGGUAGUCCAUGCCGUAAACGAUGUCUACUAGCCGUGGGGCCUUUGAGGCUUUAGUGGCGCAGCUAACGCGAUAAGUAGACCGCCUGGGGAGUACGGUCGCAAGACUAAAACUCAAAUGAAUUGACGGGGGCCCGCACAAGCGGUGGAGCAUGUGGUUUAAUUCGAUGCAACGCGAAGAACCUUACCUGGCCUUGACAUACUAAGAACUUUCCAGAGAUGGAUUGGUGCCUUCGGGAACUUAGAUACAGGUGCUGCAUGGCUGUCGUCACUCGUGUCGUGAGAUGUUGGGUUAAGUCCCGCAACGAGCGCAACCCUUUUCCUUAUUUNCCANCGGGUAAUGCCGGGAACUUUAAGGAUACUNCCAGUGACAAACUGGAGGAAGGCGGGGACGACGUCAAGUCAUCAUGGCCCAAACGGCCAGGGCUACACACGUGCUACAAUGGUCGGUACAAAGGGUUAGUACCU
rnacentral:rRNA from 1 species